GGUGGUGCAUGGCCGUUCU
rnacentral:siRNA from 1 species